rnacentral:rRNA from 1 species
GGUUAAGCGACUAAGCGUACACGGUGGAUGCCCUGGCAGUCAGAGGCGAUGAAGGACGUGCUAAUCUGCGAAAAGCGCCGGCGAGGUGAUAUGAACCUUUGACCCGGCGAUGUCCGAAUGGGGAAACCCAGUGUGUUCCGACACACUAUCGUUAACUGAAUACAUAGGUUAACGAGGCGAACCGGGGGAACUGAAACAUCUAAGUACCCCGAGGAAAAGAAAUCAACCGAGAUUCCCCCAGUAGCGGCGAGCGAACGGGGAGCAGCCCA